GACGAACGCUGGCGGCGUGCUUAACACAUGCAAGUCGAACGGAAAGGCCCUUCGGGGUGCUCGAGUGGCGAACGGGUGAGUAACACGUGGGUGAUCUGCCCUGCACUUUGGGAUAAGCCUGGGAAACUGGGUCUAAUACCGAAUACACCCUGCUGGUUGCAUGACCUGGUGGGGGAAAGCUUUUGCGGUGUGGGAUGGGCCCGCGGCCUAUCAGCUUGUUGGUGGGGUGAUGGCCUACCAAGGCGACGACGGGUAGCCGGCCUGAGAGGGUGACCGGCCACACUGGGACUGAGAUACGGCCCAGACUCCUACGGGAGGCAGCAGUGGGGAAUAUUGCACAAUGGGCGCAAGCCUGAUGCAGCGACGCCGCGUGGGGGAUGACGGCCUUCGGGUUGUAAACCUCUUUCAGUAGGGACGAAGCGCAAGUGACGGUACCUACAGAAGAAGGACCGGCCAACUACGUGCCAGCCGCCGCCGUAAAAC
rnacentral:rRNA from 1 species